rnacentral:rRNA from 1 species
CACCGCCCGUCACACCAUGGAAGUCAGCUGUACCGGAAGUCGGUGCGCCAACCCGCAAGGGAGGUAGCCGCCUAUGGUAUGACUGGUGACUGGGGUG